CUUGCACGCUGGCGGCAGGCUUAACACAUGCAAGUCGAGCGGUAGCACAGGGGAGCUUGCUCCCUGGGUGACGAGCGGCGGACGGGUGAGUAAUGUCUGGGAAACUGCCUGAUGGAGGGGGAUAACUACUGGAAACGGUAGCUAAUACCGCAUAACGUCGCAAGACCAAAGAGGGGGACCUUCGGGCCUCUUGCCAUCAGAUGUGCCCAGAUGGGAUUAGCUAGUAGGUGGGGUAAUGGCUCACCUAGGCGACGAUCCCUAGCUGGUCUGAGAGGAUGACCAGCCACACUGGAACUGAGACACGGUCCAGACUCCUACGGGAGGCAGCAGUGGGGAAUAUUGCACAAUGGGCGCAAGCCUGAUGCAGCCAUGCCGCGUGUGUGAAGAAGGCCUUCGGGUUGUAAAGCACUUUCAGCGAGGAGGAAGGUGGUGAGCUUAAUACGCUCAUCAAUUGACGUUACUCGCAGAAGAAGCACCGGCUAACUCCGUA
rnacentral:rRNA from 1 species